GGUCAGUGAUGAGUUGCCAUGCUAAUACCGACGCAACAGCCAGGACCAUCUAGGCUCUGAGCUGGGGGCGGCUGAGUUGAACGAACUUCUCACCUGUGAGCUCUGAGGCCA